UACGGAGGGGGCUAGCGUUGUUCGGAAUUACUGGGCGUAAAGCGCACGUAGGCGGCUUUGUAAGUUAGAGGUGAAAGCCCGGGGCUCAACUCCGGAACUGCCUUUAAGACUGCAUCGCUUGAACAUCGGAGAGGUAAGUGGAAUUCCGAGUGUAGAGGUGAAAUUCGUAGAUAUUCGGAAGAACACCAAUGGCGAAGGCGGCUCACUGGUCCAUUACUGACGCUGAGGUGCGAAAGCGUGGGGAGCAAACAGG
rnacentral:rRNA from 1 species